rnacentral:lncRNA from 1 species
UGACUAUUACCACAGAAGGACCUUCUCAUAUCACUUGCAUCUGCCCCUAUAGGCCUUGCCGACAACCGACGGGCACAGAGGAAGGGCUGCGCAAGCGGUGCGCCCGGCACCGUCGACCACGCUUUGCCGCGGCCAUCCCCGCCCGGCACGGCCCGGCCCGGCCCGGCAGGAGCCCAGUGGGAGGCAGCCUGGGGUCUGCAACCGAUUACCCUGGGAAUCAGAGGAGCUACUGGAAAAGCAUAACACAGGGCUCAGCAGGAGAAUAACCGUCCUGGACCUGGGCCCUCUUGGAGCAGCAACUCUUAUUCUUGGAGAUCUUUUCGUUUCAUUGAAAUAAACUGACAAAAGCAACAUUUCUUUUGAAGUAUGUGGAGGCGAUUGGCUGUCCUUUGGGAAAGGAGUAGGUAAGCUUGCCCACCCCUUUUUGCUUUGUAAGGUAUCGAAACAUGCAAACAUCCAUCCUACCCCUUGCUCUGUGUUCUUGCCUGCCCAUUAAUAUUGUGGUGCUGAACAGUACUCAUCACUUGCCCAUUAGGGGUCAUUUAAGCAUAAAUGACCUCCCUUACAGAGCCUGUGUGGGUUAAAGACCUCUUCUUUGUCUGGCUGCUGAGGCUUUGAGGUUCAUUUGUAUUGCAGAACAGCUGCAUAAAAAAAGGUUCAAGCCCACCUUUAAAGGUCAUAUGGUCUCAGAGGAGGAGCUUUGACCUAGAAGGGUUUCCCAGGUGAAAAGCUCAGGGUUUGGGAACAAAGGGAAAAAGUGUUUUUUUCAGCUUUCACAUUCCUUUGAGAGACUGAGAAAGAUGAAACUUCUGUGUCUUUUGUAAAUGAACACAUUAUAGACUGCGCACUUGAUUUCUCCCUCUAGACGUGAAGCUGAUCUGCAAAACUGUUAGACCUGUAGAGGGGUAACAGUAAUUUUUGUUUUGGCUUAUGACACAAUGGAUCAGGCAAACAAAAUCACAAGGGCUGAUUUCAACAAAAAUAUCCCAUGUCAUGAGUCAAUAUUCUUCCAGUUGUAGAAGCUGACUUUGCUUCAGCACAUCAAGGCAAAACUGGAAAUGACCUGUUAGUCCAACAGUGUACACCACCCACCCACCAGAAGAUGCUGUGUAGUUUUUCCUCUCAGCACCCCUCUAAUUCUGCUAAACCAAAGAGCUAAUAAAAAAUUGCCAUCAAAAUAGCACCAAAUAAUAUCUCUGUGUGAAUUGUCGUUGCACUUUGCAAUUCAGAGUUAUUGAAAGAAUAAAUACCACUGCUGUAUUAAUGUAAAUUCAAUGCCAACAAGCAGUUUGUUUUCUAACGGGGCUCAUUUUACAGCAGAAAGUUGAGGAAAACACAACCUGGUUUUCCCUGGGUCUACCAAAGAGUUAAUUUCUGGUGCCUGCUGAUGAGAAGGGUAAGAAAGAAAGCAAUCAAAGUGGAUCUAUACAGGAUGUAAGGUUUAAACCAUUUAAUUACUGUAGCUGUAGCACGUUUUUUGCUAAUGCAUGGAUCACAAAAGCUUCAUUCCUGUGGAAAUCAGUCAUGCGUGGGAGAUCAGGAAUUACAGAUACUUCGCUAGUGUGAGGGAUUUGCUCUGGUCAUUUAAGGAGGUUUCCUCCAGUGACAAAAGCUUUGUACCUGAUACUAAUGCACAGUAUGUAACAAGUUUACUUUAAAAUGACCUAUAACCUAAUCAUAUACAGUCCUAAAAUAUUCUCCUUUAAAUGACUCACAUCAAAUUCUUUUUUUUAUUUUUAUUUUUUUUAAAUUUAAAUCUCUGUUGAAGAUGCUGCCUUGUCCUGAGGAAGUGGAAAAAGCUAGAUGAUAGGUAACUACAUGCUGUCAGUGGUGCUGUCAGUGGUAAAAGUUCUGUUUUUUCCUCUCUAUCCUAAAAACAAGCUUCAAGCUCUCUUUUUCUGCUAUAUCCCAUUAUGCUGAUCACUAUCACAAGCAUGAACACAGUCUCCAAGACAAAUCUAUCUAUAUGAGUUUAUUUCCCCAAAAGCUAUUACACAUGCUUUUAAAACUAAGGACAAACACAUCAUCCACUGAAACUGUUCAAGUGAUCACCUACAAAUGAGCACGGAUCAGGAUCUCAGUUCACAAAAUACCUCAAAAUUAGAGCACUACAGAGUGAGUAAGGCAGAAGCCUGUUAAGUAUCAUUUGGAUUUAGACAGCAAUGCAAACAAAGGUGUCAUGGUUUUAUGGUUUUUGGUUAUCGGUAUUCCACGUCAUAACAUCAUGCAGUGUACUGGGAGUUAAAUGCUCUAGUUCCGGGUACUUGUCCGGAAGAGAAGAAGAACUACAUUCCCCAGAAGACUCUUCGAGUACUGUUAUCAUUCCUGCUCAGGGGAACAGAUGUAAGGCCUGUAGGUCACCUGACCUGAGCCCUUCUUCUCAUCUUGUCAUGCUCGCUUUCGGAUCGUCUCGCUGCUUCUCCCAACUGCACGCAAGGCUUCAGUAUUGGUGUAAGGCCUUUAGCUCUCGGACAAUCCUUCUCUCAAUUAUAUUUGAUUUUAUUAACAAUUAUAUUGAAUUAUAUUGUAUUAUAGUGUGUUAUCAUGCAUUCCGAU